CCGCUUUAAAGAAAGUGACAGAUCAACUCAGUGGUCUCAUAGGGUUUCCGGAAGCUUGGCCAGCAAACGAUAUGCAGGAAUCACCAAGGAUUCCUUUCCUAACCCUAGUGGGGAAUAAAGCAUCAUGGAAUCCGAUGGACACAGCUUCCAAUUCUGACUCCACCGGCUGUGCCGGCUGCCUGACCUUGGGCAAACGCCACAGUUGCUCAAGACCUCAUCUCAUCGGCAGGAUAAGAAUCAUGUCAAGAAUCAGUGACAGGGUUCUGAUUCUGACUCCACCUCUUACCUGCUCUCCCGAUUUCUGUCUGCCUGAGGCCGAGUGUCCUCACCUGUGAAAUGGUGAGCAGGAAUCCAGGUUGUUGGCUUGCUCCAGAACAAGGCCGCAUGAUAUCGUGGGGAAAACCUGAAGACUGCUCCAUCACACAGGGCUUUUUAGUUGCAAGAAAUAGAAACUCCUUCUGACUCAUUGGAUCCUAAAUAGAAUUUUCUUUUUCUUUUUUUUUUUUUUUUUGCUAUUUCUUGGGCCGCUCCCGCGGCAUAUGGAGGUUCCCAGGCUAGGGGUCGAAUCGGAGCUGUAGCCACCGGCCUACGCCAGAGCCACAGCAACCCGGGAUCCGAGCU
rnacentral:lncRNA from 9 species